UAUAUUAUAUUUCCAAUGUGGCUUUUAGUUUUAAAGGAACUAAUGUUUAUUGACAACAUUAUGCAGCAUUUGAAAUGUUGAAAAAAUUAAGAAUGAAAAAGUUCUAAAGUCAGCUGCUGCAUUUUCAGUGCCUGCAGACCUACGGUAUACCAACAAAUGUGGAUUAAAAUGCAGCUGUUACAACAUGAUCCCUAACAUUACUCAGCGUCUUCUUCAGGUUUGGCCGCUCCUGACACCCUCCUCCUCAGACAGACAGGAGGCAGCAGAGAGCCAUGAGCCAGCAGCACAAGAAGCUGCAGCAGCAGCUAACGGCUUCGGGGUCCAGGGCAACACAAUAAAAUGUAAGUGUCUUUUAAUCCAUGCCAACUCCAUCUUUGUGUCACUUCUCGGUGCAGUGCGUACAGAUUUCAGACUGGAGCAGAAGGGACACAUGGACGCAGUGAAGGGAGGAGACAGUGAAGGACAGAAGGUUUGGAGGUGAACAGAUACAGGCCUGACAUCAUCAGGCCUUCUGUUCAGUGGCCCUUCAAUCAAGGACAUGAUUUAUGAUCAAGCAAAAAAAAAGGACGAGUAACUACAUGUUGAUUCCUGACCUUUUCCCACGCUGUACAAUUGCUCUGUUUUGACUUGCAUGCCAUCUCUGUGACUGCAUCUGAAGUGCUGACACCCCUGGAGUGGAUUCUGGGCAUUCCAAGCGAGGAGAUGGCUUUGAAAGGACAGAUGUUCCCGGGGUUAACCUGCCUCCUGCUCCAACCACUACCCCUGCUUCCAUUGUAUAUUUGUUCUUGCUCUAUAAAUAACUGCUUGGUAACUGGGAGAAAAAUGUGACUGAUGUGCGGCUGACCCCCAGGCUUCUCAUCUUUGAGGGCUGGAGGGAUGUUAAAGACGCAGGAGAGAAGUUGGUUGAUACAGUAACGGUAGAUGGACUCGGGCGAGGGGACGUCGUGAACACACCCUUUUCUGUCCACAUAAGGACUAGUCUGGAUGUCUGGCCUGGCUCUGCUGUCUUAUGUAACAGCAGUGUGUAGUCUUGGCAGAUGAGGCGUGAGGGCUUUAGCCAGCUCAGCCGCAUAAUCCAAAAAUAUAUUGGCCAUAUUCACAGGGGAAUAUACACUUAUUUGCUAUUCUUCUGAAAAUUUCACAAUUGAUGCUUACUGGAAAAGUAGGUGGGGGCGAAUUAAUACUACCCAGCAGCCCCUCUGCACGCCUGCAAUAUGGACACUUUUUUUUUUUUAGUUUAAAAUGAAUUGUCUCGAUUUUAUCACUGGGUCACAGUUUUGAUUUUUUUUUUUUUUUUGUCAACGCCACUAUGACUGCAGUGUGUUUGCCCACUUGCUGCGGCUGGAGGGAUGAAUGGGUGAUUGUUUGGAGGCCUGGUGAUGACUCUUCUGGGACUCAUCAUUUCGCAGAGCCUCCUGGAACAUCAGGUCAUGGCUAACCAGACUCUGAAGCUACAGUCUUACACCAUACUGCUGACUUUGCCGCAGUUCUAGACCUCCAGGACUCACAGCUGGGUCCCUUAAAAAAAUAAAAAUUAAAAAAAAAAAAUCCGGGUGAAGAAACAUUGAAUCUUCUCUGUCUUCUUGCCCUGUAUUUGAUCUCGGAGAAUGUGCAGAUAUCAAAAGCUGUGUUUUUUUUUUCACUUGAUAAGUCCAUCCUUGCCAAAGACCCUGGAAACCAUAUUAAACCCUGCGUUCCAUAUUUUCAACCAAAGGGCCUCUUUAGCUGGAGACUUUUUCCAAAAUUUCCACUAUUCCCUGUCUCCCUUUCUUCCCUUCUUCUUUUUCCUUCUCAGCUCUGGUCCGCUGUCUCUCCCAUGCUCACACACAUCUUUAUUUUCACCUCUCCCCUCCAGCACUGCUAUAUUGUGUUGUAUCAGUUACAGCUGACCAGCAGUCAUGUAGGUCUGCGGGACAUUUCAGAUCACAGAGGGGCAGCUAGCUCACUCAGCGCCUCGAGCCUGCUCUAUAAUCCAGUCCCAGGUCCUGCUGAGGCCUUGUCCCAGGCAGGGCAGAGAGACACCUGGCCAAACCGCAGAAACACUUCCAGCUGCAGACUGCCUGAUGCUCACCACGGAGAGAAUUCAGGCCAAAGGUGGAGGAGCUCACCAAGAACUGCAGCGCUGCCAGACAUUUCUCUGGGCUUUAGUGCUUUUCAGGUUUAUUGUAGUCCCCGGCACCAAGCAUCUGUUCAUAACGUUUGAGGUCGUUUAGAGCAAAUUUUUACCUUGUUAAAAAACUUUACACUGUGUCACAAUAAAACAACCCCCGCCCCCUAAACGGAAAACAUAUUACAGCUCUGCGGAGAGAAAGUGGGAGAACACAGGAGGCAGAGAGAACAACAGCUCGCUUUUCUCUCUGGCCAGUUGACAUGAAAGACCACAUUAUGUCUGAGAUUAGAGGCAAUUACUCUGGGAGUGUGCUUUAAAACCGUUGUUUGCCAACAUGACAGGAGGGAGCAGGACUGUAAUUUGAUGAGGGGGCAGUGUGAGUGAGAAACUCUGCAUGGUGAGCCUCCAGCAGAGACAGAGAGGGAGAGAGAGAGAGGGAGAGGGAAAAGAGAGAAAGUCAGAGGUGGAAGGAUUAAAGAGAGGGAGGAAGCUUGUUUUAGAAACUAUAACCAAGAAAUGAAAUGUAAACAUGACUAUUCUUAAUUUGAAAAUAUAAAAAACACAGUCAUCUGCCAGUGUAAAAACCUUUAAGUUUGGUCACAACAUUUUUUACUCACCUUUCAAGUGCUUUUAAGUGCUCAGGAUCCUUCUGAGAGUAAGUGUUUACUGGUAGGAAACCGUCCCAGUAGGAGGCAGUAAUGCAACCUAAAUGAUUACAGCUGCCAUUCAAACACAAAGAGGAAAAACUUAGUGACAAGGAAGCAGGAAGUAUAAGCUUCAAGACACAGAGUUAAAAUUGUCAGUUAUAUUUUUUUUAUAAUUAUAAUUAUAUAUAUUAUAAUAAUAAUUACAUUUGUGAAAAAACAUUUAAGAGAUAAUUCCAUUGCAUUACAUGUUACAUGUGCUUGUUGGAUUUGAUUUAUGAUUUAAUCACAGAGUACAAGAGACAAUGGUCCAUUUAACACACAUCACCCAGUUUGGACACCAUGUCCAUAUCCAUAAGCUUCAUGUUACGAUUAGAAACGUAAGGGUAAAGCAGGGAGGACGCUAAUGCAGCACCUGAGAGAAGAAGAUCAAAAUACAGGGACCAUGCAGGAACAAGCAACACAUGAUCGACAGGAACUCGCAUGAGCAUGUUCACAAACAACACAGUGACUACAUACCAUGACAAUGAACCACACUGGACAAUGACCCAACAAGGACUGAGUUUAUUUCCGGGUCAGUAGGUGACACAAGUGAGACUAAUGACCAAAGAUCCCUGGACACAGGUGAGUGUGUUGACACUGAUUAACACAGAGAAACGGAGAGGAAAGAAGGGAGGCAGACAGACCUCAGCCUUACUGCUGAUUGGCUGCUGCCUCGCUGGAUGAAUCAACAUAGGGAGUACAUUCACACUCCAUACAUAUCAAUUACAACUGGCAAUCAUUUUGCUGUAAGGCAGGAACAUUAACUAGACUUCAACAUUUAUUUUAAUCAUUAUUUUAAAAUAGUAAAAAUCCAACUGCACUUAAUUCAAUUAAUAUGGCAUUUCAAAUUUAGUUUUAGCAUCCCCUA